AUUCUAGGAUGAGGGCAUCUUCGUAAUAGUUCUUUAAACCUUUCCCAUGCUUCAUACAAGGACUCGUCAUCCAUCUAUUGGAAGGCAGUAAUCUCGUUCCUUAACUU
rfam:Gossypium raimondii chromosome 13, whole genome shotgun sequence.